GGCAGGGGCAAGGAGGGCGGGGCCGUGAGCUAGGUGAGGGGGGCGCUGCGCGGCCAGCUGCAGGCUCGGAGCGGGGCGAGCUCGGACUGUUACUAACCCCGCUCGCGGUGCCAUCGCUGAGCUCCCUCUAGGCCCGAGCUGGAGAGCAAUUCCCGCUUCCCUUGCUCCGCCUUGCGGCCUGGCAGCGCCCCUGAACCUGGCAUCAAGAGCACCCAGGAUCUCUGCGUUCUUGGAAAACUCAGGGCAAGUUUCUAGCCCUGGUGGUGGCGGAGAAGAGCUAGGAAGAGUGAGGCCAGCGUCCCCCAAAGGCUCAGAAACCAGAAGGGGGGAAAGCCCUUAUUUUUAAAGAUCUCAUUGCUUUUAAGCCAGUCUCCUGAUUGGGCAGCGGGGCGCUGACUAAUGUUGGUUUUUGAAUGCUUGGGGUUGGCAGUACUGCUCACUGCUGUAUAGUGUUUCCAUCUGAUUUUCCUGCCAGGAGUGCUUUACAACUAACUGCAUCACUGGCCGCACACUCAUCCAUGUUAACUGCUCAAACCUGCCACAGAUGGGCAUAACAGACUUUGACCACAUGAAGAACUGCAGGUGCUGAACUGAAGUAAGACCGACUGAGAUGAUCAUAAUGAAGUGCAGGAGUCUGCAGCCUAAGACCCCGUCUGGAGGGAGCAAAUCAUGGGAUUUCACCCCAGGAAAGGAGAUUUCAUGGCAUGUGCGAGAGCUGCUGGGGAUUGAGGAGCCUCUCUGGAGCAGAAGCAUUGCCCUCCCAUACAGGGACAACGUGGGCUUGUUUUUAGAGCACAAAGCCCCAACUGGUGCAAAAGCUGAUGCCCUCACCUUCUCUCAGUUUGUCCAAGAAGCAGGAUUAGAGCCAUAUGCUACAAUUUCACAGCAGUCUGGGCUUUUUACAAAGGUGGAAGCAGACGCCCUCACCUUCUUUGUUCAAGAAGCUACAAUUCCAUCCUCUCCGGAUUAAAGAAAGGUGCAUCGAUACUCUGAUUUGUUUAGUGCUGACAGUAUGCUCAGCCAUGUACAGUUCCUCCCUUGAACACGUUUGCCAUUUAAACUUCUAUUCCUAAAGACACCCCUAUGGGAUAUUGCCAAGCACCGAAUUCCUUAGUGCAGUUACAUUAUCCUAUACUGAAAGGUUCCCUUUCUCCCCAUUGCAGGAGCUCUUUGUGGCUCAGUCAUGUCUGAACUGCUGCUACUUCACAUGUUAUCACCAAGACCAGAGAUCAAUCUUAAUCACCUUUCAUUGACACCCGCUUUCCUCGAACCCAGGUGAUAGAUUAUAAGGUUUUUCCCCAAACUCUAGUCUUUGCCCUUACAGAUCCAGCUGACCUCGUUCACUACUCCACACACAGAAAUAAGUUUAAAGAGUUAAGUGAUGUAUGUAAUAAUUGCCUUAUGAUAUAGUGCCUUAUGUUGUAAAGGAUCUCAGGGUGCUUUACAAACUAUAUAAUGCAGAAAGAAAAGGAGUACUUGUGGCACCUUAGAGACUAACAAAUUUAUUUGAGCAUAAGCUUUCGUGAUGCAUCCGAUGAAGUGAGCUGUAGCUCACGAAAGCUUAUGCUCAAAUAAAUUUGUUAGUCUCUAAGGUGCCACAAGUACUCCUUUUCUUUUUGCGAAUACAGACUAACACGGCUGCUACUCUGAAACCUAUAUAAUGCAGAAAUCCCUUUCCUCAUCACAGAAAUAGUUACUUUUGAGAUAGAAUAGAUAUUUUUAUUAAUUGAACAACAGGUUAGAUUAGGACAGGAAGUGUAGAACAACAUUUUAUCCAACUGAAACUGAAGAAAGAAUUUAAAGAGGAAGCACUGAAUUGCCCUAGAUGGAAUUUGGCCAAGACUCCAUGGCUAAGACCCUUGUUCUUGAGAGAAGAAUCAUGCAAUCUUUUACAUGGUUAGGGUUUUGGUUUUACAUCUCAUCCUACACUUUUAGGUCUCAUCAGCAUUUUCAGCAGCAAGGCAUCUCCUGGCACUAUGAUUAAGUGGUGGUUCAAUCCUGACUGAAAGGCAACAAUACUUCCUACCGAAUCAUCACUACCAUUUUCUGCAGCAGCAGCAGGGAUUUCCUUGAUCCCCAGUCCAAAUACCAAACAGGCACAAUCCUCUUUAGUGUGUGAGAUCUUGUUAGUUCAAAACCCAAUGUGGUGGGACUGCAGCCACUGUAAGGCUGCUCUCCUGCUUACCUGUCAAAAAUGCUACAGAAAACAAAUGUGUCCAACAGUUUGAAUUGAGGUCUUAGGACAAAAUGCCAUUUUAAUAAGUGAGCUUGGAUUGAAAUAAAGCAGUUCUCUGGCAGAGUGCUAACUUGCCAGGCAAGCAGGUUUAAUAGAAAACCAAAACAAACUCUUGGAAAUAAAUAAAAACAUGCACUGAUUAGCGGAAUCUGCAGUGUUACUCUAAACAUUUAAAAGAGCAAGCAGCGCAAAUUCCCACUUUUUCCCCACCUCACUCUGGGACAGAUAGUCAUCACUGUUAGGUUCCAGGACUGUUCAGUAACAGCCAUGCUUGUUGGCUCACUGUGUCCAGUACUUUGUUGAACGGUGACCCUUUCCAGAGAGAGAACUCAGAGCUAACACAUGUAAAAGUCAGAGACCCCAAAGAUUUUAGCGGUAGCCAACUCACAUUCUGUGAGGAUGUUACCAAGUGGUCACAAGUUAGGAGAGAUUGCAGAUGCAUACAAGUUGGGAAGCUUGCCUGUACUUGAGAAUUAUGAAUCAGGAACGCUAUUCACUUUCACUGUUUAAUUUGCCCACUACUUUGCAGUUUGCUUGUGCUGUGGGUGAUAGUCAGGUAAAGGUUUACAUGCCAUUCCAGCUUUAUCCUUUCCACUGCAGGAUAAAGUCCUCACUGUACAUUCCUCCACCACACAUAACCAUAUGGAUCCUGCAAUGGGAACUGGUAGGAAAAGGGUCUUAAUCUCUGUCACAGUUCUCUUCAGAAUUAAACCUUAGCAAAGCAGUUCCAUCCCAGGAAGUUUGGAAUCACACUGUGGUUAUACUGUAUGAAGCUUCAGAAUCAGUGUUAGGAACAUCCCCUGGGUCUUCUGUCCAAGUCACAUCAAUAGCAGUUGUGGGUGGACAUUGACUCAUGACCCAGCACCAUACGGGGAUCUGCUGUGGCAGGAAGAGAAGAAAUUCUGCUGGCCAUCCCUCCACUCUUUGCAAGCAAAACUCCAAAGGAGGUACAGUAAAACAAAGUAAGAUGGUUCUGGAGAAGCACACUCCUUGCUAGAAGCUGACUGAAGGGAGACUCCUUCAUUUGUACAGUUGUCAGGUCAAACCAGGGGAAGGUGCUGGGAAGAGAAAACAGGGUGUAUUAUUUAUGGGCAACAGCUAUCGGUUCCAUACCUGUGAUUUAACAAGAUGGCUUUCUUUGGUCUUAAGUCCCCUGUCUUAGCCCAUUGAGAAAGCUAUGUGAUUCAGAACCUUGAGUUCUUUGGACAAAGCCAGAACCACCCACAAUGAGCAAAACUCACUCUGGUAUUAAUGGGAUGAUCUUGAACAAACUGGACUUAAUGGGCCUACUGCACCCAGUAGUAUACCCAUAAACAAACACAUCCAUCAGACCAGCCCCAAAGCAAGAGUGUCGGUGCCUUGCCAUUGGAUCUUCUUCCACUAUCCAUAAGAACCGUCCGCUUCAGGAUGAUCCUCCAGCUAUCUCUAUACAUGUUUGUACUAUGCCCAUCACACUGCACUACAACUAAUCAAACAACUAAUCAAACAAUAAUGCAGAAAACAGAAUUAGUGGGGAGGGAUGGUUCAAGAAUUGGUAAUGAGUUCUCUAGUACUCAGUUCAAAUCAAGCCUUCAUUGGGUAGUGACCAAAAGCAUUAUCACAUGUGACCCAGGGAUCUCUUGGUGCCCAGUGACAGAGGGUACAGGGGGAACACACAAGGUUUUACACGGGUUCCUUGGAGUGGAUGACUGCAUAAUAUGCCAGAAGGGUUCACCGAAGGGUGGCAUAUGAGGUCUCUACCACGAGCCGGUAGCCCACUGGGCAACAUAAUCAUUGUGAAAUGUAUGUACAGAUAAUAUUUAAGGAGUUAUGUAUCUAUACUGAAAAUUAUGUUCUUCAGGUUUGGGAGUUAAGGCAGGUUCCCAGGUGGUGAGAAACCUCUGACAUGUUCCUUCCAGGCAGGAGAUAAUAAAUGUUUAUCUCUCUGUCUGGCCACACUGAGCCAGCUGCCGCAUGAGAGAGA